UUUUUACAAAGAGCUGGACGCGAUACUUGGGGGUGACCCCACUGCCAAUCCGAGGACCACGAUGGACACUUCAAAGCGGGGGGGGGGUGGCGGGGGGGGAGGAGGAAACCAAGAGUGAGGGUACUGGGGUUGGGGGAGACACCCCAGAGUCCCAGGAAGCAUGCAGCCAGGAGCUCUUCUCAAGCCAGGAGGAAGGUAGCCAUUCACAGCAGCCGGUACUUGGUGAAGGACAAGCAGAGGAGCGGGUUCCCAGUAAGCGGCUUUUAUUUUCAGGAUGGAAAUAUUUCGGUAGAAGAGGGAGGUUUAGGGCUGCAUGCAUGCUGCCUAGAUGUGGAAUAGCCCAUUGAUGUGGUUGAUCACGUCGCCGUAAUCGGCCUCGGUAAUCUCUUCAAAAGUUUCUGCCAGAGCGUGGGCAAUGUGCUUGCGCAAGUUUAUUGGGAGAGCCACUGUGGUCCUUGUCCCAGUCAGGCUAACGCGUCCGCGCCACUGUGCCGCGAGGGGUGGGGGGACCAUUGCUGCACACAGGCAAGCUGCACAGGGGCCAGGGCAGAAUCCGCAUUGCUGUAGAAGACCCUCCCGCUCUUCCCAGGUGACCCGCAGCAGCGAGAUAUCUUGCAGGAUCAACUCCUGUGGAAAAUGUUGGGAGACUGUUCAGUGUAGGUGCCCCCUGCAGCAGCUUGCUUUCCCCAACGCACAGAAACCCCAGUACAGACCAGACGCAAUCAGUCCCCCUUACUCACAAUUUCGGGGCUCCUGUGGGUUAUGUGCGCUCUCUUUGGCAUGGGAAAAUUAUGCUAUUGUGAAGACUGUAAACUCCUUCAUUGUGUGGGAAUAACUGUCUGAUGUGAUAUAAACAAUGCUGCCUCUGUUAACUGUUGUCUUUUUUGCCUUUCUACAAGCAACCUUGACUUCUCGGAUGCCCAUGUUAUCAACAGCUGAAAGACUCCAAAACCUCUGGAAGAAGCUGCGAAAAAGCAAAGACGACCUGCUGCAAGCAGUUAUGGAUCACUCUGCAAGAGAGAAUCAAAAACUGCAGGACUGGAGGGAAAGGGAAAGCAGGAUCCACCAGAAAAAUGCAGUGGCCAGGAAGUAAAGCUCAAAGCAGCUGAUAAGUAUCCUGGUGCGCCAAGUGGACUCUAUCUAGGCGCUCGUAGCCAUGCAGGCAGAGCACUACCGUGCUGGCCCCCCUUCCCCUCGUCCCAAAGCUCUUUCCCUUGUGCCUCAAUGUCAGAUCAAAACCCCCUUCCCCAGCAUCCAGGUUCUUACCACCACCAGCUGCCUCCAACACCUGUACGUUCACCAACCAGCCCUGAGAACUAAGACCCUUACCCUCUGCACUCAACCCGCAUCACCAUGCAGUAUAGGCAUCCUGAAGUGCAGCAGUCAUUGCACAGCACUCCAGACAUGACAUAUUCACACCUGUGACUGUACAGUUCCCCACCACACCCCCCUGCCCUUUUAGGUUCCCAAAAUGUUGUUUGUCUGUCAAUAAAGUUAUUUUCUUUUCAAUAAAUGAAUUCUUGGCUUUGAAAA